rnacentral:rRNA from 1 species
UACGAAGGGGGCGAGCGUUGUUCGGAUUUACUGGGCGUAAAGCGCGCGUAGGCGGGUUGGUAAGUCCGCUGUGAAAGCCCGGAGCUUAACUCCGGAGGGUCGGUGGAUACUGCCAGUCUUGAAGGUGCUAGGGGGAGAUGGAAUUACCGGUGUAGCGGUGAAAUGCGUAGAUAUCGGUAGGAACACCAGUGGCGAAGGCGGUCUCCUGGGGCAUUCUUGACGCUGAGGCGCGAAAGCUGGGGGAGCGAACGGG